UUUUUAUGGAGAGUUUGAUCCUGGCUCAGGAUGAACGCUGGCGGCGUGCCUAAUACAUGCAAGUCGAGCGAACAGACGAGGAGCUUGCUCCUCUGACGUUAGCGGCGGACGGGUGAGUAACACGUGGAUAACCUACCUAUAAGACUGGGAUAACUUCGGGAAACCGGAGCUAAUACCGGAUAAUAUAUUGAAUCGCAUGGUUCAAUAGUGAAAGACGGUUUUGCUGUCACUUAUAGAUGGAUCCGCGCCGCAUUAGCUAGUUGGUAAGGUAACGGCUUAACCAGGCAACGAUGCGUAGCCGACCUGAGGAGGGUGAUCGGGCCACACGUGGAACUGACGACGACGGUCCAGACGUCCUACGGGAGGCAGCAGUAGGGAAU
rnacentral:rRNA from 1 species